rnacentral:misc_RNA from 1 species
GAUGAAGAACGCAGCGAAAUGCGAUACGUAAUGUGAAUUGCAGAAUUCAGUGAAUCAUCGAAUCUUUGAACGCAUAUUGCGCUCUCUGGUAUUCCGGAGAGCAUGCUUGUUUGAGUAUCAGUAAACACCUCAACUCCCUUUUCUUUUUUGAAAUUGGAGCUGGACUUGAGUGAUCCCAACGCUUUCUUCCAAGAAAGUGGCGGGUUGCUUGAAAUGCAGGUGCAGCUGAACUUUUCUCUGAGCUAUAAGCAUAUCUAUUUAGUCUGCCUAAAAAACAGAUUAUUACCUUUGCUGCAGCUAACAUAAAGGAGACUAGUUCUUGUGCUGACUGAUGCAGGAUUCACAAAGACGGCUUCGGCCGACUUUGUAAACUCGAUCUCAAAUCAAGUAAGACUACCCGCUGAACUUAAGCAUAUCAAUAAGCGGAGGA